rnacentral:rRNA from 1 species
AGAAUGAACGCUGGCGGCGCGCCUAAUACAUGCAAGUCGAGCGAGAAGACGUAGCAAUACGUUUGUAAAGCGGCGAACGGGUGAGGAAUACAUGGGUAACCUACCCUAGAGUGGGGAAUAACUAGCCGAAAGGUUAGCUAAUACCGCGUACGCUUCUUGGACUUCGGUUCAGGGAGGAAAGCGCUACCAAGGGUAGCGCGCUCUUGGAUGGGCUCAUGUCCUAUCAGCUUGUUGGUGAGGUAACGGCUCACCAAGGCUUCGACGGGUAGCUGGUCUGAGAGGACGAUCAGCCACACUGGCACUGCGACACGGGCCAGACUCCUACGGGAGCAGCAGUAAGGAUAUGCGCAAUGGGCGAAAGCCUGACGCAGCGACGCGCGUGGGGGAUGAGGUCUUCGGAUUCGUAAACCCCGUUUCGGGAGGGAACGAGUGGAAGUAGGGUAACCCAGUUACGGACGGUACCUCCGAGAAGCGACGCCGACGGCUAACUUCGUCGCCAGCAGCCGCGGUAAUCGUGA